AGUACGUGAUGACAACAGUUUCGGUCCCAAAUGACAAGCAGUGAUUACUUGUUAUGAGAUCUACUGAUGUU